rnacentral:rRNA from 1 species
GACUACCGGGGUAUCUAAGCCCAUUCGCUACCCACGCUUUCGUGCAUGAGCGUCAGAAGAGUGCCAAUCAGAUGCCUUCGCCCUGGGUGUUCCUCAUGAUAUCAACGCAUUUCACUACUACACCAUGAGUUCCACUGAUCUCUCACUCUCUCUAGAUCUGCCGUUUCAUAUGCGGCUUCCGGGUUGAGCCCGAAAAUUUAACAUAUGACUAACAAAUCCGCCUGCACACGCUUUACGCCCAAUAAAUCCGGAUAACGCUUGAGGUCUCUGUAUUACCGCUACUGCUGGCACAGAGUUAGUAACCUCUUAUUCCUAAGGUAGUCUCAUUUAUUUGUUCCCCUAGAAAAGCAGUUUACGACCCGAAGGCCUUCAUCCUGCACGCGGCAUUGCUCCGUCAGACUUUCGUCCAUUGCGGAAUAUUCCCCACUGCUGCCUCCCGUAGG